UCUCUUCCCGGAUUGGUAGGCGGCUAGCGGCGGUGAGGCGGGCGCCUAAAUCCGGGUCCUUAGACGUUCGUCCGGGACGCAGCGCUCGCCGUCCAGCCGCGCUUCCUUCACACCUGCUGGCAUGCGUGUGGGCGCCCGCGCAGGUUCUUAAAAUGAAGAAGUUUAAUUUCCGAAAAGUUUUGGAUGGCUUGACUGCCUCCUCACUGGGCAGUGGCAGCAGCAGUGGCAGUAACAGCGGUGGGACUGGUAGUGGUCCCUUGCAUCCAGGAGGGACAGCUGGAGUUCUGAGAGAGGAGAUUCAGGAAACCUUGACUUCAGAAUAUUUCCAGAUUUGUAAGGAAUACCAGGUUGAAUCAAUAAUCAAAAUUGCUACACAUAUUUUUUGUGAGUGGAACAUCUAUACUUGUGUGAGCUGUUCACUGAGAAUCUGUAACCCACAGGACAGGCUGAGAGGUCAGCUAGGAAACAGCAGAAAACAGAAGACAAGACUGCAGUGAUAGAAAAAGAUGGAUAUCAAGCCAAAUGCAACAUCACUGCGUGCUGUCGGGCAACAGCAAAGGAUCCUGUGCACACAAAAAGAAAGUUGCACAAUAUGAAGGAAGCAGUAAAAAUGAAAUGAAGUAGAAGAGACAUGCAGAAAGAAAAAUGCUCUCGGAUGUGUCACAAUCAUCUUGAUUCUUUACCUGGAAAACCUGUAUUUUUUCCUUUGUAAUUAUCUAAUAUACUUUGUGUCAAAGAACAAGGACCUGAGUUCCACUUAAAGAAGAUGAAGUUAACAGAUACCUUUUUCGGGUUUUAUCAUGAAAUUAGAAAUGAAGAUUUUCAGUUUCUGGUAGUCAUGAACAGAGAGCCUCAGUAUGGAGAUCAAACUCAAAGACCCUCUACUUUGGCUAUUGGCACACAUUUCAUUCCUGGAGAUGGUUAGAAUAUGGUGUUUCUAAAAUAGAAGGACUUAUCUUUCCUCCUCUACUUUGGAACUAAGAUGAGUUGUUCCAGUUAAUGCUUCCAGAACUAUAUUAAACAGGAUUCCUGGCAGUGGACACCCUUGUCUUGUUCCUCAUUUCACAGGAAUUCUUUCAGUUCUUGACCAUUCAGUAUGCUGUUGGUUUGGCUGUUGGUUUCUCAUAGAUCUCAUAAAUGUUGUAUCAGAUAAAGAUUAUCUAUACCAACUUUUUGUUGUUUUUCCCAUGUUUGCAUAUUUGACUUGUCAAAUGCUUUUUAUGCAUGUGUUGAGAUGAUCAUGCCAUUUUUGUCCUUAGCUGUGUUAAUAUUGUGUAUUAAAUUCAUUAAUAUACUUAUUUUCAACCAUCCUGCAUCCAUUGGAUGAUCCUUGCUUGUUCUGUGUAAUCUUGAUGAUUUGCUGUAUUCUGUUUGCCAAUAUCUUAUGAGGAUUUUUACAUCUAUAUUCAUUUGGAAGAUUUGCCCGUAUCUCUGUUUCUUCAUUAGGUCCUUUACUGGUUUUGGUUUCAUGGUGAUGCUUAUUUCCAGGAAUGAAUUUGGGAGAGUAGAUUCACUUUGAAUUUCAUUAAAGAGUUGCAUGUCUCUGAAAUGUUAUUUAAUUUGCAUGUUUUUAAGUAGUUUUAUUGGUUUCUUUUGCCAGUGAUUGCCAAUUUCAUUGCACUAUGAUCAGACAAUAUGCAUGGAAUAACUUCAGUUCCUUUAAAUUUACUCAAGCUUGUUUUAUGAACCAAUAUAUGUUCUCUUUUAGAGAAAGUUCUGAAUGCAUCUGAAAAAAUAUGUAUUCUGAUGUUGUGGGAUACAACACUCUGCAGAUUCACUAAUCAUGACCUUUAUUAUGGUCAUCAUCUCUGAAGUGAAACUGAGUUAUUCACCAGGCACAGCAGUUUGCAGCAUCCAUUGUUCCAUUCUGCUGGUGUGUUUCUCUUUGGAGCUCUCUGUAGUCACCAGUAGUCAAUGUACCUCUACAGGUUUGAGCCACCCCUCCCACACUACAGCUCAGAGAGAAAGUGCCACUCCUCACUUCCCAUGUCUGCACUUGGUCCCUCUCCUUUCUCUCUCUGCGGGCCCUAAUUCUCACCUUAGAUACUUGCUCAGUCCUGGGAAGCCACUUCUCUCUUCUUCCCCUUGCGCUCUUCUAGCAUCUGGAUUCCAAAUAUCAGAGAAGAUGUGUCACCAUCCUCCUGCCAUCCCAGAAGGCCUCUUGCUUCUUUAAUCCUAUAUUAAACUAAACUAUAACACAAUUCAUAAACUACUUUCUUUGUUUUCAGAAUAGUCAAAUACUCACAGGUGCAUUUAUUUUAAUAUCUUAUAGAUUUGUGGAUUUAUCAUCAUUACUUUUGAAGCUUAAAGUUUGUAAUAUGUAUAUUAGUAAUAAAUGGUAGACUUUUUAAGUUCUUAUCUAUCAGCGGUGUGGUGGGGGUAAUGCAAGAACAACUUUUAUACAAAACAUCAGAACAUUUAGCACUCCUUUUAGUGGUUUAUAACCCUGGUUUUAAUGAUCUUUGCAACACGCUGCAAACAAAUUGAUAGCACAUUAACUUUAGUGUGGUAAGAUAACUUCAUUUGAUAACAGACACAAUGAGAACAUACGUCAUGGGAGACUUUCACUAAGUGAAAUAUAAAUAAUUUUGAAAAAUAGUAUUAUUUUCACAGAAAUGUAGGAUGAUUUUAUAGUGGCAAACUUAUUUAACUUAUUUCUGGUUUUCUUAGCCAUUUACAUACCAUAUAAUAAGGUACAUUUAAGUGCUAGUGUAACUCAUAAUUUUCAUGGAAUCACAUCAUAUAUUUUUCAUGCAAUACAAGCAAAUCUUUAUUAUCCAGUUUUUAUUGAUACCAAUGCAUUGCUUUUAUAAUACCACUUCUGUUCUAAAUAUAUUUCUUUAUAAUAGUUAAAAUGUGCUUUAAAAUGUGGAAUAUCCAUUUAGCUUUAAUAUUUUUUAAUUGAAAGUAUGUGAAAUAUAAAAUAACAAAAUGGAAUAUAUCUUUGAAAUUGUCCUUUUUCUUUCUUAACAUAAAAAGCACUCAAAUGAAAACUAUUGAUUAUCUAAAUAGCUUUAAGAACAUAUUAAAACACAAAAAUCUAGAGGAAUAUAUAAAUAAUGACAACUAUUUUGCAAAGUUGUAAAUUUGAUGGCAAGUUUUAGAUUUUAUUGGGUAAUUCUUUUUGAAUGAAUGGAUAAAAGCAUGCAUAUAUUAAACAAUUUAAGAACAUUAUUACAGAACUCUUUUGUAUUAUAUAUCUAAUUCCUUAAAACUGUUGCAAAUGUUUUCAAACAUGCAUUAGCACAAUAUGAUUUAAAGUAACAUAGGGCUAUAAGUUUAAAUAUUUCUAAAUUAUUAUAUGUAUGUCUAAUUGUAUAAUUCUUAUAAAUAAAAACCAAAAACCAAACAAACACCUUUUGAGGAGAAUACAUCCAAGCUUCCUUCUUUCACUUUCUCUUCCUUUACUCGGCCUAUUCUCUGUCUUAUUUCUUCUCACCAGUCUGCCAUCUCUUGUCUUUCACUGGAAUGUGUGAAGCUUGUACUUUGUGUGUGAGCUUUCCACUAGUGCUCAGAUAUUCUCACUAGUCAUACACCAUGGAUGGAACAGUUCUAGAGGUGAAUCUACAGAUCUCUCACUUCCACAUAAAAACUUUCUUAGCCCUGCUAUGCAAAAUUAAGACUUGCUAUUUCAACCACACAUAUUAAAGUGUCCGGUCUAGUUCUCCAUAUUAUCUAUUUUCCCUUUAAAUAUUGAAAAUUUUACCAUGAUAUUUUUUCAUACCAUUUAUUUUGCUUUUAUGCACAGUGAUAUUUGCUUGUUAUUCACCUUUAUUGCUUAUCUUUUUGUCUGAUCUGAACGUAAGUCUGUAGAAGAAGGUUUAAUAUGAAACAGAAUAGCAGAAAUAUCAAAUAAAGUAUCUGUAACAUGACACUCAGAUAACUGUCAAGUGAAUAACAAUAAAUCCAAGAGAAACAUAAGUUACAGUUAAAGUUUAUAUUCAAUAGUAAGUAAUGAAAUUGUCAUUAUAGACUAGGAUUUUCUUAUAUUAAGGACCUGAUGUGACUGAACUAAGCAGUAUACCACAUCAAACAUCCUCACUAAUACUGAAUAUAUUUUCAGACUCAGAUGAACAUGCUUCCUGUGCAUUCAUUUUUAAUGGCAGUAAUAUUAUGAAAAAUCUACAUAUUUGGAAAACUGUAGGUGCACAAGCCAUCCAUUUCAAUGUAUUUUGCGCUAUCAGUUGAGCAACUAGAUGUUUUCUUUCAUCAAAUAGAAGUUAUCAAACACUUGAAUCAUGGAUCAACAGAUAUUUUCUGUGGAAACAAUUCCAUAGUUUAUUUGGAGAUGUCCAAUCUAUUUCAAUUCUAUUUAUGGCAGAUAUGAAGAAAAAUCUUUUUGAUAUACAUUUCAAAAAUACCAUUCCUAUAUUAUAAUAUACUAUAAUAUUCAUAUAUUACUGUAUUGAUAUGGUAGUGAAAAAAGAAAUUUUUGAGCAUAAGACUUAAAAUAGGAUGAUGUAGUCAGAAAUUUGUAAGCAUUUUAAUUGAAUGAGUUCUGUUAGUAUUUGCAAUGGAAGAUCAAGUGAUUUAUCUUUGUAGCAGAUGCAUCUUGAGUUUUUCAACAUGAGAAGAUGAGGAAUGGAUAGGCAGAGCUGAUACAAAUACAGUACUCUUGACAAAUUUUUUCAUUUACACUGCAUGUAUUUAUAUCUGAGAGGUUUUAUGGGUGCCUUUUUGCCAAAUAUGAACAUGCUAAUUAGAAUUAAACUGUAAAGAACAUUUUUUGAAAGGUAAAUUCAAUACAUUUUAUGUAAAAUAAAUUCUAAUAAAAAUAUAAAAGGUCUGCUUAUAAUUGAAAAAAUAGUUACAUGCCUGAAAUUAACUGAAUAAAUUGAUAUCAAAAUUAAGAAAACUGCUGAUUUUAAAACUAUCAGAUGUAGAGCUAUAAAUACAUAUAGUUUAUUAUUUGCUUUACUGGGUGCUUCUCAUGUGAUUUAAUGUAUAUUUAAUUUGAAAAAUUGACUUGAUUAAGUGAUAUAUUACAGUAUUAUGUUUAUUUAUUAACAGAAAAUAUGUUUACUAUAAACUAUUAGUUUCAUUUCUAGGAAUCAAAUUGUUUUUUAAAUUGCUUCUGUUUUGCUGUUUGUCAUAUCUGAAGCAAUGUAAUAAAUUUUUCAUACAUUAUUUUUAAUACUUUAGCCAAUAUAUUGCAAAUGAAAUAGAGCAUAUUUCUGUAAUUCUUAAAUUAUAUAAAGAGAAUAUAUAUACUUUUAAGCUUCCCAUUCAUUGCUUAUAUAAAUCCAUUUUACAUAUAUAAUAAAACAUUCCAUUUAAAAUAAUUUUCUGAUUAAGCCUGAUAUUAUGAAACAUGAGUGAAAAACAAAGAAAAUUUACAAUGUUGUAUUAAGUGAAAGAUAUAAAAAUGCUGAUAAAAAUAUGGAGAAAAAUGAAUUUUUAUUUGAUGAUUUUAAUUAGUAUAGGUACUCAGGAAAAUAGUAGAAUGUUACCUAACAAAAAAAAUUUUAAUACUGGUACUACCAUAUGAUCCACCAUACUCAUUCAUGGGUACACAUCCAAUGGAAAUGAAAUCUUUAGAAACCUAAACUUUCAUGCUUAUUAUAGCAUUAUUGAUGAGUCAAAAAACACAGUCAUAUAGGCUGCCUAUGAAACAGAGAAGAGAUAAAGAAGUUGUGGUUAAUAUUGAAAGCAGAAUUUUUCCACCACAGAAAGAAUGCAAUGCAGUCAUUCACAGCAACGUGACAAUUAGAGAAAAUUAAUUAUCCUAAGUGAAAUGUCAGUCAGAGUAAGACAAUGUCUCAUGUUCUUAUUCAUUUGUAUAAGAUAAAAAUUCAGUGGAGUAGAAAAUAAAGUGAUAGUCAUAAGGGACAAAAAGGUUAAGGGAUGAGAACUACAGAUAGAUUAGAUAAUGCAUGCCAAAAUACAAUUAAAUAUGAGCAACUAGUUCUGGUGUAGGAUAACACACGGGAUAACUUUAGGAGAUAAUUUAUGCUUUACUUUUAAAAAACUGAAUAUGAGAGCCCAAAGUUUCCCAAUACACAUAAAAUAUAAAUAUGUUAGGAAAUGACAAUCCUUAGUGCCCUGAGUUUCAUCAUUACAUAUUUUACACAUCAAAUUAUUUUAUACAUAAAAAUAGUUAUGCUUCAAUGGAUUUCAUUUAUAUGUAUAAGCUGUAUGUACCAAUACAAUAAAAAUGAAAAAAUUUGAAAAUUCAGAAAAAUAAGAUAUAAAAUUAAUGUACAUGGCAAUAGGAUUGCAAAAACAACUAAUAAAAAUGAACUCACUCCGUGAGUUAAUGCCUGUAAACCAAGCAGUUGAGCAGGCUAAGACAGGCCUUUCAUAGGUAACUCAGUGAGAUUUUUAUCUCAAAGUAAAAAUGAAUGCACAAAGCUAGGGUAGGGACAUAGGUAACUGCAAAUUCAUUCUGACACACACAAACGUGUGCAUGUGCACACACAAGCACAAACACCCUCCAAAGCAUCAAGAAUAAAGAUACAAGACAUAAGAAGCUAAAAAGAAACAAUAGCACUACAUUGCUCUUGAAAAGCAGUGCAAAUAAGAAAACAGAGAAGUAUCUUUAUGUACUAAGAAAUAAAGACAGUGAAUGUUCCAUUGUAUUCAAAAACAGUGUUUUGUAAAAAAUAGGUAAAAUAAAAGCUUUUUGUGAAAUAAAAAACUGAAAAAUUAGUCAAUGAAAUGAAUUUAAAUGAAAGAUUUGCUGCUCACUGUGAAAUGGAGAAAAAUGAAAUGAUUGGAAUAUCCAAGAAAUAUAAAACAAUUCAUAAAGAAAUAAGAAGUAUAAUUAAAUAUCAGAGACUAAAACUAGAACAGAGAAGAAGAAAUACUUGAAGUAACAAUAAACAAUUAUUUUCAAAAUCAAUGUAAGAAAACAAACCAUAAGUCUAAUUAAUUCAGAGUUGCAAAAAAUAAAUACCAAAAAAAGAAUAGCAAAACAUGUAAUCAGGUCAAUUUUAACUUCCUGGAGGGAGAGACACACACAUACACACAUGCACAUCUCAAAAGAAAUUAAACCAGAUAAAAAACAUUUCCACUAAGAAAUAAAGAAAAUACAUCAAAAUUUUUUACAUUUAAGCAUGCUAAAACAUACAUCAAAAUUAGUAGUGCUAAAAUAAAAAGAUACAUCAAAACAACACCCAGUAUCCAUCAAAGUUGUCUUUUGUCAGUAGCAGAUCUGACUUCUAAAUACAUUAAAUUUUUCAUAAUAAAGAAAACUUCUGGUGAAUGAAUGUAAAAUAUGAAUUUAUUUUUAACUUUUAAUUGAUCUAAUAGAUAAUUAUUUGAAAUAAGAGCAAAAAUGUAUUUUGUGAUAUUAAAUAUGAAAAAGUCAAAUCAAUAUAUUGUAAUGAAUGAAAAACUAUUAUGUCUUCACUAGCAAUGUAGCACUGUAGUACAAAUUGGAAGAGGACUUAAGAUUUCGGUCAUAGACUUAAUGUGCAUUGUCCACACUAGGGCAAACAUUAACACAAAAUUUUAAUAAAAAUGUGUAAGGCUUGUACCCAUAUAUUUGUCAUAUUAAAAGUUCCACUAAAAUAAGGGAAUCUAAAAGUACAGAAAAUAAAAAGAAAAUAAAAAUCCUCAAUAAUAGAAAACAGACAGGGUAGCUUUUGUCUGCCUGGGUGUUGGUUUGUUUGAACAGUGUCACACUAAGUCAUUCAGUUGCUCAGGCUGUGCCCUAGGUUGUGAUCUCCUUGCUUAGCCUUCCAGUGUGUUGAGAUUACAGGAAAACACCACCACAGUCAGGCAGAUAUAAUAGAUUUUACUCAGAUAGGACCUAUAUUUGUAAUCACUUGAAAUAUAAUGUUCUAAACAUACAAGUCAAAAACAGAGAUUUUUAAUUGGAGAAACAUACCACCUAAAAGACAACUUAGAUAUCCAGACUCAUGUAGAUUAAAAAUGAAGAGAUAGUGAUAAUUGUUUCACUCAGACACUAAAGCAAUCUACUCUGGCUAUACUAAUUUCACCUAAAGUAAAUUUCAGGAGGAGAAUAAUUUUUAGAUGUAAAAAGAGUCAAAAGAUAACAAUAAAAAGGAUCAGUCUUUCAAGAAGACAGAGCAAUCAUGAGGUUAUGUGCAUCUCACAGAAACAUGCCCAAGUAUGAAGACAAAAAGCAAUAAGACUGCCGGGAGAAAUAAACAAAUCUGAAGUUACAAGUGGAGGUGUCAACAGUUCUCAUGCCAUAAUUGAUAGACUCAGCAGGCAGAAAAUCAAUAAGAGUACAGUGACAUCAAAUCUUGCAAUUAAAUCUACUGGAUCUAAUUGACACUUGUAGACUGGCUUAUCCAACAGCAGCAGACGACACAUUUGUCUCAAGUUCGCAUAGAACAUUUCCUAAGGGGGGGAAAAACACUUCUGGACCACAAAAUACACCUAAACUAAUUUAAAAGAACAGAAAUCUUAUGAAGUGUCUUCUUGGAACACAAUGAUCUAAAACUAGAGAUCAAUAAAAGAAACAUAACUGGAAAAAUAAAAAAUAUUUGGAUUAAUCAGCAUACUUUUCAGUAGACCAAGAGUAAGUGAAGUCUCCAGAGAUAAAAUUAGAGAACAAAUUUAGUAUAUGGCAAAUGUCUAUUUUUAUUAGUUUUAUAAUUAUUCCAUAAACCCAAAAUUAUUUUUAAAAUAAAGGUAUUAAUUAGUUGACGAUAUUACUUGGUGGUAGAGCUAUUGCUUAACAUGCAUGGGUAAAAUCACCAGAACUACCAAAAAGUACAAAAAAAAAUGUUUUUAAAAGUAAAUCUAGUCAAUACAACAAUAAAGUUGUAAUAAUAUAAUAAAGAAUAUUUUAAAAGAAAUAGAGGAAAAAUAAAAGGACAAAUACAAAAAACCAAAAUAAUAAAAAGUUACAUUAAUAGAUAAAUGAAAGCAACCUGAAAGUUAUAAGAAAGAAUUUUUUAGAGUAACACAGAAAAAGUAGGAUUCAACUGUUUUUCCUGUCUCUCUCUUUUUUUACAUUGCUAUUCAAAUCUAUUAAGAAUUCUCUUGUCUUAAAAAAAAUGAAAGAGAGAGAGAGAAAAAGAAAAAAGAAAAACAAAUAGGAAAAGAAAAGAAAUGAAACCAAAAGAAAAACCAACCAAGCCUAGGAUCUUGAAGUAGCUAAUUAGGAUUGUAACCACAUAGUAUCUGGUUGGUUCCUUUUUGAUGAGUUGGUACAGGCUAGAGCUAAGUACAAAAGUUUAUGAAUGCUUUGAAAGAGUAACAAAGUGCAAAGAGGAUGACUGCAGGAAGGUGCCCAGAGGAGACACCGAGCACUGACAGCUUCAAAGAGCCUCAGCCACCUGCACCUCCUGGAGACAGAGGUGUCCCGUGCCGAGGUGGGUCUGGGCCUAGCUGUGCAAUGGGGCAGCUGAGUGGAGAGGUGCUUGUGUCCCCUGCAGCAGAGUUCCAUAGUGUGUUUAGUGUUCUUCUGCAAACUGAAAUGAGGAGUCGAUUUUUCUGGCUGAAAUUUAUACUGAAGACUGGUCCCAGACCUUGUUAACCUGGGACAGUGGGGUCCUCACAGCUCCCACAGGCAGCCGGCUCAGAAUCCGGCCCGGGGACUUCUCACGCUCCAGGGGACGGCUGGGAGAUUUGUCCCUCUGCAGCUCUGUUCGCCCCUCACGGUAGCGGUGGGGUGUGCUUGGCUCCUGGGGGUGGCUGGGGUUUUCAGGUGGUGCUGGGCUGGAGGCCACAUGCUUGGUGAUGUGCUCAUUGUACGUUGGGAGGCCUCGCUUGUUGGGGCUGCUGCGGGAGGUGGAGGGGACCUGGUGGUGCUCAGUGCCGGUCUCCUUCACAAGGUUUCCUUUGCAGCAAAUAACCCUUAAUUUAUCCUGGUAUGAGGAGGCCAGGUAAAUCGCUCCCGAGGAAAUUGCAGGGCCCAGGUAGCUUGGGUUUGGGAUUUCCAAAUAGGCUCGGGCAGGAGUCCCCAGUGAGCAACGUGCCUGGAUCUCAAUGACAAGUGAGUUGAAGUGGGUCCUGUCUCUCUUUAUUCCCUCUGUAUAUGUAAUUAAAAUUAAGUUAAAACCAUAAACAUAUCUAAAUAACAAUGGAGAAAUAAAGCUAAUACUAAUCAAUACCUAAUAAUACUGGCAUAUGAACAUACAGCAACGCAGAUUUGGAAAAAAUAAUGCUACUACAGAUAAGGAAGGUUAUUUUAUAAUUAAAAAGUUUUAAUUUAUAGAUGGUACACGUAAACACAAAAUAACUUUGCAUCUGCUAACAAAGGUUCAAAACCAACAACAACAUAUGAUAGUAAUACAAGUGGAAAACAUGGUGCCAGCCAUACAUUUCUUUCAACUGAUAACAGAAUAAAUAUACAAUAAUUUAGCUAGGAGUUAAAAUUUUAAAUAAUAUUAUCAAUUAAUUUGACUAAUUACAAUUACAUAAGUUUGAUCAAAGUUAGAAGAAAACAUUUUUAAGUUUACUCAAAAAGUUUGCAAGGGUAGAUCAUAUUUUAGGUUGUGACACAAUGCCCAUAAAUUAUAAAGAUAUGUGAAACAUGUAGAUUGUCCUCUGAUUAAAAUCAAACAAUAGUAGGAAGGAAUAUAAAUCUGAGAACACAGGCUGGAAUUUAUUUCACUGUAGCAUGCACCACAUAGUGCCUUUAACCACGGAUUCAAUCCCCAGCAUGGCAUAGAGAAAAAAGGAAAGAAAGUAAAACACCCACAUACACGGAAAGCAAUUAACAAAAUUACAGUAACCAUGAUCAAAGCAAUGAGAAAAGUUAAAAAUGCAAUUAAAAAUUAGUUAUAACUGGGUAAAAUGAAAAUAAAAUUACCCAAACAAUUGUUGUCAUGCAUUUGAGAAAAUACUCAUAGAAAACUGAAUAGCAAUUAAUGUUCUUUUAGGAAAUCUCCUAUCAUAGAUGUAAACCUACUGCAAAAGAAA